AGAUACAACAGAAGAAAUUAAUGAAUGUGAAACCUAAUAAUAACAGAGUCUGAAAUUAGCACCUCAGGCUUUUUCAUUUAUUUAACUAUCACGUUUCAUUUUAAACACACAUUCGUCAUGAACACUGUACUCAGACAUUCCACUAUCUGCAGCAGCUCUGGCCAUUACACUCAACCCUUCAGGCUCUAGGGCAGUGCUCUCAUUUAUCUGGCAUUCAAAGGGGGAAAGGCUGCUGACCCGAUACGCUUUACAAUGGUUUGCAGAAGUAAGACCAUGCAAUUAAACUAGUCUCUAUAGGAGAUGCGCUGAAUGUGUGUGGCAGCCUGUAAAAACACUCAACACGGUUAUACUCAAAACUCAGAAGACUUUCCUGAAAUGAAAUGAUCAUUAUUUUUACAUCGAAAGACAGCUCGUUUCUCUACACUUGACAUGAUCCUGACUUAAUCUGCUUAGAGGAAAACAAUAGCCAAAUUUUGAAGAAAUCAAAGUUAAAAAUAAAAGAGAGUGAGGGUUUGUUUCUUAGAAUCAUCCCGUCAUCAAUUAUGUAAACAGACUAGGCCACAUUUAUCAAUUAUUGGAACAUUUAUCAAUAUUUGGAUAUUCAUAAAUCGUCCAUAUGAUUUUUUUACACAAGAAAUUUGGUGUAAAUUUUCUGUAAAAUAUAACAAAUGUAGUAUGUUCCUCAAGUGAGUGUAAUCCUGCACACAGGAACCUGAACUUGAUCAGCUUCAGACUGAUUGGCAUAGAUUCCUACACCUUGAUAUAUGGACUAUACUGUUGAGUUGAACUUACUUAUUCUCAUUACAUUUACAGCGUUUAGCAGAUUUUAUCUUCUUAUCCACAGAGACUUACAGAAAAGCUUUGGAGUCUUUAUCUAGAGCGUAUCCUCGUGCGAUGACUGUCAGCGAUCGAACAGCAUCGCAUGGAAGUGAGUAAAAAUUGCUGCUUUUUUCCCCUGAAUUUCAUCGAGUUUUGAGUCACCACAGCGGAUCAUCUCUCUCCACCUAUCCCCAUCUUCUGCAUCCUCAACACUUGCACCCACUAGCAUCAUAUCCUCAUUUAUUCCAUCCAUAUACCUCCUCUUUGGCCUUCCUCUUUGCCUCCUGCCUGGCAGCUCCAUGUCCAACAUUCUCCUACCGAUAUACUCACUCUCCCUCCUCUGAACAUGUCCAAACCAUCUUAAUCUGUCCUCCCUAACUUUGUCCCCCAAACGUCCAACAUGAGCUGUCCCUCUGACGUACUCGUUCCUUAUCCUGUCCAACCGUGUCACUCCCAAAGAGAACCUCAACAUCAUCUCUGCUACCUCCAGCUCUGACUCCUGUCUCUUCCUCAGUGACACUGCCUCUAAACCAUACAGCAUGGCCGGUCUCACCACUGUCUUGUACCCAAAAGUAUAUUAAUAACAAAAACUUUAAUUUUAGUUAACUAAAAU